UUCUGGAUUGCAGUCGUCAGAGAAAAGGGGGACAUGGGAUCUCUUCUGAUCAAUAUUUGUGAGGACCGAAGGGCCUCAGUGUCCGACAGGAAACACAGCCUGAACUCAGAUACUUGUGCUCUUCAGGUCAGUGUCACCCAGCCAAUGCACACGUCAGCAGAACGUACUUGUGGUGAAGACUUCAUAAGGAUGUGAUACGUACAGUGUGUCACUGAUCGUGUUAAGAUAAAGGUGCCCUGGGACUACAGAACAGGCGUUUCGACUGCAACACACAGCACUGUUGUGCCUAUGUGUGUCUCCUGUUUCCUGUUUCUGCAGACACAGCACUUUCAGCAGCUUUACAUUGGAUCAUUAGAGAUGUCCGAGCAGCUCUGAA